rnacentral:rRNA from 1 species
GGGAAAAAUGUCAAAAUUUUAGUUAAGAUUGAUUUUGUCUUAGAUAAUUGGCUAUUAUUUGGUAGUUUUAUAUACAAGUUUUUGCGUGGUUAUGUCUAGAUCUUAAGGAUUUAGAUUUUUUUAUAAUUGUAGUUUUUAAUGUUGGGAUUUUUGGAAACAUAGAUUCAGUUAACUUAUUUUAGAAUUGUUGAAAGUUGUGCCAGCAUACGCGGUUACACAGCUAAUUCAAGUCAAUUUUUUUUGGUUAGUAUUUAUUUUCUUUUU